UACGUAGGUGGCAAGCGUUGUCCGGAAUUAUUGGGCGUAAAGCGCGCGCAGGCGGUCCUUUAAGUCUGAUGUGAAAGCCCACGGCUCAACCGUGGAGGGUCAUUGGAAACUGGGGGACUUGAGUGCAGAAGAGGAGAGUGGAAUUCCACGUGUAGCGGUGAAAUGCGUAGAGAUGUGGGAGACACCAGUGGCGAAGGCGACUCUCUGGUCUGUAACUGACGCUGAGGCGCGAAAGCGUGGGGAGCAAACAGG
rnacentral:rRNA from 1 species